UGGCCCAGCUGCCACGGUGGGUGGGACGAGGGGGAGAAGAAAGAAGGAAUAAGGCACCAAUAGGGGUGUGCAGGUGUGGGUGGUGGGAGCAGCUGACUUGCCAAACCCACCGGAGUUUGCUCCACCCAGCUGGGCACAGUUGGGAAACCUGGCAGGGUUUGAUUGCCUGGUGCAUGGAAAAGCUCAUUUGGAAUGCCUGGUAUCUCCAACCAACCCUCAAUUAAGUGAUUAACUGCAAUGAUCAGAGGUUCAAAGAAAUACACAGGGUUGAAAAGUAUCCUCGCUUGUUUAAAAAGUAAGGAGAAUUUUUUUAAAAAGAGCCCAAAGAGAGACGAAUCCUCUUAACAGAAGAAAGGAGGAGGAAAUGAACAGAGAAGAGGAUUCCCAGAUACAACAGACACAGGAGCUCAUUGGCACACAGAUCACUGACCUUGAGAAGAUGGGGAAAAAGGUUCAGGAGAAAAGGAACACAUGCUGAAAACAGCCUCCUGCAAGAUUCACUGAGCUACAUUUAUAUCAAACUACUUCAGCAUCAGAAAUCUUGGGUUUCAUUUACUUUCCUCCCUCACCCAUCUUUAGUAUCAUCUUUGUCUUUUUUGGAAAACACUGCCAAAAUUUUGUAUUUCUGUCUCAACCAGAAGCUAUCUGAACCUCCCUGUUGUUCUGAAUUAGUGUCAUAAAUGGAAGAAGUUUUGACUUGCCAAUGUGUUUUGAAAAGCAAGUUGAUUUUCAUAUCCUUAUCUGAAUUCAGCCUGUCUGUGUAUGUUAAGUGAUUUGUCUGUUUUUGACUUUUGGAGAUGCUGCCAACUUAAUAGUCAUCACCUUGCAGAGGUGUAAACACCACAAGAAGUCAAGAAAAGUAAAUUUCUUGUUAUAAAGGUUUCUGGAGGUUAAGCCUGGAAUAGGAUAUAAAGUGGAGUUUUAAAUUUCAAAGAUAAGUAGCGGAGACAGCUAAAGUGUCACACAGAUUUAUAAAAAAAAAAUUAUCACUUUAUUAUAGCCAUCCCUCUGAGUAUAAAACUGAGAGGAGAGGGACUUUCUUUCUCCCUUUGCUUUUUACCAGAGGUAUUUUAUGCCAGAAUUCUUAGCCGUGCUCUUCAGAGGUGAGAGUGAUUUUAGUGUGGUGGUUGUGGAUAACUCUUGCAUGGAGCAGGGAUUUGGUGACUAAGACAGAAGGCCUUGGGUGCACACAGGUCUGAAAUUGUAACAGAGUUUGCAUUAAGAAAGGAUGAGAAGCAAUGCCUGAACUCAUGCUAAGCUCCCCCACAAGAUGACUGUAAAAUUAUUUUUGAGAGAGAUCCAGGUAAAGCUUAUGCAUAAAAAUUAAUCCAAGUGCUCAAACCCAAGCAACACAUUUUUGAUACAGAGCAUGUCAUCUCAGUGAGCUGGAGAGACGCAAAAUUAAAGGUGAAGUGGCCCAGAUCACCUUGGCUUUGGUGUUUGAGGCUGUUGAGUGCCUUACUUUGAAAGAAGAGUACAGAAAUAAGUGCCUUCUGAAUAUGGUAAUAACUUGAGAGUAUUCAGAGGGGAUAGAAGAUCCUUGUAUGUGAAAAAUAUCCUUGGGAACCAGUGCUAGACAUUAUGCAAAGUGAACCUGGCAGAAGUGAUGGGGAGCAGAGUGGAACUGCUGAACAGGUUUGUUGUGUGUCUUCUGCAGGAGGAAACCUUCAGUGCUGGGCAGAAGGAAGCCUGCAGAGGGCUGUGGGAGGAGGCAGAGCCAGCUUUGCACGGGAACACCUCAUCCAAGGAGAGGAUCCAAAGAAACAGGUGGGAGUGUGGCUACAAGAUGUGUGGAGAGCAGAAUGCUGCAAGGAAUGAAGAAAAUAAGAAAUGGAGUAAAUGGAGUGAAGGCUGUGUGGGCUGGUCACUGGUGUUCACUGGAAGGAAUGUUACAGGAUCUCCUGUCAGGUCUAUUGAGCUGACAGAGGCUGAUCCAGCACAGAGAUUCAGUGCCUGCUCUCCAGAGGAGGGCUCACCUGAGCCUCUGCAGCAGUGAGGAUUGCAUUCCUGCUUCUGGGAAUCCAGGAAUGCUCACACCAGGCACUUGGAGAGUCACUAAGGAGAACAGAUUCUGAUGAAAUUAUAGUUCACUUUUAAUGGCAUAAUCUGUGUUCAAGGAUAUUUUGCCUUUUCUCAUUUCUUCUUCAGGUGAUUUCCAUAGGAACAAAGCAGUCCCUUGCUGUAAUGCAACUGCCUCUGGGUUUAAACACUUCUGGUUAACUCCAGCCCAGAAGCAAAGCAGAUCUGUUUCUUAGACAAAAAAAGGAAAAUCAAGAGAGAAGAAUUGGAUGGAGGGGAAGAAUUUGAUUUGUGAGGGUUCUUUUCAGAAAGUACCAUGAGAUCUUAAGGCAGCAGGAUUAGAGUUCCUAUUGCUUGUGAAUUGCCUGAACUGCAUGAGUGAGCUUUAAGGAGAGCAGUAAUGAAGAAAUAAAACAACUUACAAGCUACAUCAGCCCUGGAAAAUAGAAGCAUUUCACAAAUGGUUUCAUCUUCUUUGCCUGGUGAUACCCAACAGUGAUGUACAAUUACUUCUUGUUGUAGUUCUGUUGUAUCUGAAACACAAAGCUUUCAGUCUAAACCUGGUUAAAGAGUAAAACAAGAGAAUGCAGCAAUUUCUAAACUAUCCAUUAGCUCAGCAGCAGGGUUGUCUCAGGCUGUUUUGAUAGAAGCAAAAAAAAAAAAUUAAAAAAAGGAAUAGUUUAAACUUUGCCUCAGGGGUUGGAAACCUAUUUUUCAGGCUGUUUAACUGUCAUUCUCCGUGCAUCUGUUCAAAUUAGCUUCAGACAGGGAAAUAAAUAGGAAAUAUGGCCCAAGGGUCCUUGGUUUUGUCAGAAGGGACUUAGAAAGAAGUGGGGGAGAAGAAGAAGGAAGUCUGGUUCAUGAAGGCCUGCUGGGUCUUUUUUGCUGAGAUGAAGUCAAAGCUGACUGAGGGGUAUUUUGUGAGAAAUAAAAUGCACUUCACAGCUCUCUCUGUCAUGUACUAUAAUUAUGAUCAACAUUUCUGUGUAUCAUAAUAAUGAUGAUAAUGAUGGCCACUCCUUCCCACCUCUGCUGCAAGAAAAGAGCUGACUGCAACAGGAUGUACUGUUUUCUGUAUGUGAGCACUUUGCUUUCUUGACAUAAAAAAAGGGAAAAGAAAAACUGAAGACUGAAAAUGGAAGAAAACAAAACAGAUCUUGGUGCUUGUGGUUCUUUGCACUGGGAGAGAAAAAAAUCCACAACAUGUUUCCCUGAACCAAAUAAAGAGUGAUAUUUAUAUUUAUAUUUAUUGCAAUAUAAGCCCCUUUUUGAUAGGUGUGUCUUUCCUGGAGUUGUUGGAAGUCACAUGAUCCAACAUCUUGGGCUUUUUUGGGGGAGAAGAAAAGAAAAUGCCAGUGUGAGGAAUAUUUCUGGGUAGAAAAAAUCUCCUAGGCAGCCACAUAUAUUAAAGCAGAACUAUAAAUGUCCUGUCCAUUUAUUCAGAUGACUCUUACAAAGUGCAUUUGUGGGAUUUUGCCUCCUUCUCUGGCAGAAGAGAAACUGCAGUGAAGGAAGAAAUUAUUCUGUCUGUGCCCAAGGUUAAGGCAAUCUGUUGGAAAGAAUGAAAAGGACACUGAGAAAUGAAUAUCUUGUUUCAGCCAGGCCUAAAUCAUUAUCUGCAGCAUUUUGGAUGACUCAGUAUGUUUCCUGAGCUUAUUCUUGCCUCUCUCUCCUUUCUCUGCUGUACCUGAGGCUUUUCCUCCUGCUGAUUGUAGGAUAAGUCAGGUGUAGGCGCAGUGGAGGUCCAGUACUGGAGAAAUACUGGUGUGAACUUCCUGGGUGUUACACAUCUCCAGAUCUCUGCAAAGACCUCAGCCUGGGGAUGAGAGGACAUGGAAAAAAACUUACUAGAAACACAGCUAAUUUUGGGAUUAAAUGACUGGAUUUUGGAGUUAAUGACCAGGACAAUGAAAAGAACAGAAACAUAAUCCCAUCUGAGGAGCAACCUUCCCACUUUUCCCAGGCUGAGUGUGGAAAUAUAUUGCUCCUCACUGGAAAAUAAAGCCACGAGCACAUUAUUAAAAAUGGGAUGGAACAAAGCCAUCCCAUAAUUUUUGAUUUAAACAGGAGAACAGAAUUUUUAGGAUUAGCAUAUAAAUGAUUGACUGAGAUGUGAUAUUUGCUAUCAAGGGUCAAGUAUUAGAAAGCAGUCUCCAUUUUGUUUUUAAUUAUAAUCAACUACAGAAACAAUUAGUUAUAAACACAAGCUAAAUGUAAGAGGGGAGAGAGAAAAUUAACAGCUGGAGUGAGUAAAGAAAAGGGAGAAGCAUGAGCAAAUGAAAUGGAAAAAUACACAUAACCACAUUUGCUGCAGAGGUAGCAAGGAGAAGAGUAUGCACUUGUGUUCUUUGAAUAUGUUCUUGUUGACAGGAGCCUGGAAUUUUUAUUCACUGUAAUUUUCUUCUCCAAAGUAUCCAUUUUUACUUGAAAUCUUGAUGUUUCAGAUAAAUUACAUACCAGAGAAUCUUAAUUGCCUGCUUUUUCUCCAGAUGUGUGUGAUGAGAGUUAACAUAACAAAUCCAUAAUAAAUAUCACUGAUAUAUA